rnacentral:rRNA from 1 species
AUGGAUGGGAUCAUGUCUCUGCAUGAAAACCUGCAUCAUACUUACAGUAGGAAGAAAUCUGGAAUUGUGCUGAAACUUGAUUUCGAAAAGGCAUCUGACAAAGUUAACUGGGACUUCUUGUUAGAUUGCCAUAGAAUGAGAGAGUUUCAUCCACAAUGGAUUGAGUGGGUCAGGAAAAUCCUAGUGGGGGGUACAGCUAGUGUGAAACUGAAUGAUGAGGUGGGCCCCUACUUUCAAAGCUCAAAAGGGGUGCGCCAAGGGGACCCUUUCUCGCCCUUUCUCUUCAAUUUAGCUGCUGAUUGUUUAACAAAAAUGGUUCUUAAAGCUCAACAAAAUGGCUUAUUCAAUGGUCUGGCCUCUGACCUAAUUCCAAAUGGGGUAGCUAUUCUUCAGUACGCGGAUGACACAAUUUUGUGUUUUGACGAUGAUCUUAGAAAUGCUUUGAAUAUUAAGUUGCUCCUUUAUCUGUUUGAGGUCAUGUCAGGAUUGAAAAUCAAUUUCUUGAAGAGCGAGAUAUUUUCUGUCCGUGCGGACGAUGAGACUAUGCAUAAAUAUGCUGAGAUGUUUAACUGCCAAAUAGGUAAUUUCCCUAUAAAAUACCUAGGCAUGCCUGUCAGCUAUGCUGGGCUGAAAUGCAGCGACUGGAGUUUUGUGGAGGACAAAUUCAUCGAUCAUGGUGAAAAUGUGAUUAGUGAGGUGCUG